GUGUGUGUGACGGUUGUAUUUUGCUGUCAGGUUGGUGACAGGUGGCGUGUGUUUGCAGCAUAGAGGUGAAGCCCCUUCGGCAAGGCAGGGGAACGUGAGAUAUCCCCCAUCCCACCUGUUCACCCUUGUGGCGAGGAGCUUGACUGGCGAGUGUUCCUCUGAGCCCACAGGACAAAACAGCCCUCUGAGUCUUUUUGUUGGGAUGAAUGCUUUUGUCACAUUAUUUUAGAUGUAUUUCUUGUGAGAGAGUCCAAGCAGUUUUGACAGGAAUAUUGCUCCCUCAGUGGCCAUGAUGCCUGAAACACUUGAUAUGAGGAGACAAAGUGAGACAAGUUCUCCAUUUUGUUUCUCCCAACUGAGCCACCGCCACCAGCCUCCCCUGUGCCUGCUGCCUUUAGCUGGAUUGUAAAACGUUACCUCAUUGUGAAGUGUCCUGUGUGAUCAUAUCACAGAUUCCCUGGCAAUACCUGCAUUGUAAAAAAGAGACAAUAAUUAGCCUAGAUUGGUUAGUACUAGCCAUAAGAGUGUGUGUAGGAGAGAUUCUGUAUAUUGUUGCCUUGUCUCUGAACCUAUCUAUGUGUCUGUUUCACAUGUAUGAUUUGUGUUUCUGCAGUAGACGUUCAGUCGUUGAGCUACCUUGAUGCAGAGCAGUUGCUUCCGGAGAAAACAAAUACACACGCACACACGCGCACACGCACGCACGCAGGGGUCGACGGCAAAGCUAAUCUGUUUAAACUGGCUGCAGUGGCCGGAUGCCUGUCAUGCAGUGCUUCCUAUGAAUGAUUCAGGAAGCCCUAAUUGCCGCCACACUAAUUUCUUAUGAAUGAUUCACAAACUGAUUCACCCAGGCAAAGAUCCCUCCUCACCAGAGACUGAUGGGAGUACAUCAUCCUCUCUCAUAACCUCCCCCUCCUCCUCCUCCCUCUCUCUUCCUCCUCCUCCUUCUAACAUUCUCCUCCACCACAUCCUUGGUCUAUUCUGCUCUAACUAUGUGAUGAGUAAUGGCCAAACCAUGCACUAACUGGUCCAUCUUUGAUCAGAUAUGUGACAUGUAAUAUCCACAACACUGCUGCAUGGUGAUUGAGCAGUACUGUUGCUGUCCGGUUGCCGGGUGAUUUGAUGCAGAUAUAAAAUGCUGCGUUACUAUUUGGUCCCCAGAUAUCAACACAUGAUACAUCUGACACAAUUCAGGGGCAGCCACUGAGAUUUGAAGUGUGAUUUAUACUCACAUGUUGGGCUGGGUGAUACGGCCAAACGCUCAUAACCUGAUAACGAUACAUAUCACGAUACAGCACAUUUUCUGUCAAUUCAAUUAACAAAUUGUUUAUAUAAAAUGACCACAUGUAAAGGCCUAUUUCUUAUUACAUUUUGGUACUUACUCAUAUUAGAACCUUUGUGCAAAUGUUCAAUUAAGCAUGUAACAAAAUAUAAUAUUAAUGUAUAAAAUCUAAAAUCGUCGUGAUUUUUUGCCUAAUGGUGUGCCGCGGACUGAGACAACGUCUGAGUUGGGGGUUUGUUUUGAGCACUAGACUGUACUUUUUGGGGUCUCAUCCGUAGACUCUCUCCAUACUGUUUCACAUGAUUCUUGUGUAGGUGGUAAGAGAGGUUAGUGGUGUUUGAGCCUGUUGUUGGGACUGGCCUGUUUCACAUGAUUCUUGUGUAGGUGGUAAAAGAGGUUAGUGGUGUUUGAGCCUGUUGUUGGGACUGGCCUGUUUCACAUGAUUCUUGCGUAGGUGGUAAAAGAGGCUAGUGGUGUUUGAGCCUGUUGUUGGGACUGGCCUGUUUCACAUGAUUCUUGCGUAGGUGGUAAUAGAGGUUAGUGGUGUUUGAGCCUGUUGUUGGGACUGGCCUGUUUCACAUGAUUCUUGUGUAGGUGGUAAGAGAGGUUAGUGGUGUUNNNNNNNNNNUGCAGUAGACGUUCAGUCGUUGAGCUACCUUGAUGCAGAGCAGUUGCUUCCGGAGAAAACAAAUACACACGCACACACGCGCACACGCACGCACGCAGGGGUCGACGGCAAAGCUAAUCUGUUUAAACUGGCUGCAGUGGCCGGAUGCCUGUCAUGCAGUGCUUCCUAUGAAUGAUUCAGGAAGCCCUAAUUGCCGCCACACUAAUUUCUUAUGAAUGAUUCACAAACUGAUUCACCCAGGCAAAGAUCCCUCCUCACCAG
rnacentral:lncRNA from 13 species